rnacentral:rRNA from 1 species
AGGGAUCAUUACCGAGUUUACAACUCCCAAACCCCUGUGAACAUACCACUUGUUGCCUCGGCGGAUCAGCCCGCUCCCGGUAAAACGGGACGGCCCGCCAGAGGACCCCUAAACUCUGUUUCUAUAUGUAACUUCUGAGUAAAACCAUAAAUAAAUCAAAACUUUCAACAACGGAUCUCUUGGUUCUGGCAUCGAUGAAGAACGCAGCAAAAUGCGAUAAGUAAUGUGAAUUGCAGAAUUCAGUGAAUCAUCGAAUCUUUGAACGCACAUUGCGCCCGCCAGUAUUCUGGCGGGCAUGCCUGUUCGAGCGUCAUUUCAACCCUCAAGCACAGCUUGGUGUUGGGACUCGCGUUAAUUCGCGUUCCUCAAAUUGAUUGGCGGUCACGUCGAGCUUCCAUAGCGUAGUAGUAAAACCCUCGUUACUGGUAAUCGUCGCGGCCACGCCGUUAAACCCCAACUUCUGAAUGUUGACCUCGGA